rnacentral:misc_RNA from 1 species
UCCGGUUCAUCACCGGCAGUCUCCUUAGAGUGCUCGCCAUGACGCGUUAGCAACUAAGGACAAGGGUUGCGCUCGUUACGGGACUUAACCCAACAUCUCACAACACGAGCUGACGACAGCCAUGCAGCACCUGUCUCACGGUUCCUUUCGGCACUCCCACUGUUAGGCGGGAUUCCGUGGAUGUCAAGAGUAGGUAAGGUUUUUCGCGUUGCAUCGAAUUAAACCACAUGCUCCACCGCUUGUGCGGGCCCCCGUCAAUUCAUUUAAGUUUUAAUCUUGCGACCGUACUUCCCAGGCGGAGAACUUAUCGCGUUAGCUUCGAUACCAAACAGCCAAGCUGCCUGACAUCCAGUCCUCAUCGUUUACGGCGUGGACUAC